GAUGAACGCUGGCGGCGUGCCUAAUACAUGCAAGUCGAGCGAACAGACGAGGAGCUUGCUCCUCUGACGUUAGCGGCGGACGGGUGAGUAACACGUGGAUAACCUACCUAUAAGACUGGGAUAAAUUCGGGAAACCGGAGCUAAUACCGGAUAAUAUAUUGAACCGCAUGGUUCAAUAGUUAAAGACGGUUUUGCUGUCACUUAUAGAUGGAUCCGCGCCGCAUUAGCUAGUUGGUAAGGUAACGGCUUACCAAGGCAACGAUGCGUAGCCGACCUGAGAGGGUGAUCGGCCACACUGGAACUGAGACACGGUCCAGCCUCCUACGGGAGGCAGCAGUAGGGAAUCUUCCGCAAUGGGCGAAAGCCUGACGGAGCAACGCCGCGUGAGUGAUGAAGGUCUUCGGAUCGUAAAACUCUGUUAUUAGGGAAGAACAAAUGUGUAAGUAACUAUGCACGUCUUGACGGUACCUAAUCAGAAAGCCACGGCUAACUCCGUG
rnacentral:rRNA from 1 species